rnacentral:rRNA from 4 species
AAACUUUCAACAACGGAUCUCUUGGCUCUGGCAUCGAUGAAGAACGCAGCGAAAUGCGAUAAGUAAUGUGAAUUGCAGAAUUUAGUGAAUCAUCGAAUCUUUGAACGCACAUUGCGCCCCUUGGUAUUCCGAGGGGCAUGCCUGUUCGAGCGUCG